rnacentral:tRNA from 1 species
UCGGGGGUCGUCUAAUGGUAGGACAACAGACUUUGGAUCUGUGAGUCGGGGUUCGAGUCCCUGCCCCCGAG